rnacentral:rRNA from 1 species
AUGGAUCUCCCCGACGAGCUCCUCGACCAAGUCCUCGGGCACGUCCCUCCGCGGCAGCUCGCCGCCUGCCGCUGCGUCUGCAAGAGCUGGCGGGCCGUCGUAGAUGGCCGCGGGCUGCUGCGCGCCUACCUUGCGCCGCGCCCACUGCGUGGCAUCUUCAUCAAUUUC